UAAAAUGCUACCAGAUGCUCUAUAUUACGAGAGCAAUUAGAGGUGAACAAAAAUUAUCCAAAAAAAAAGGAGAAAGAAAGUGGAGUACAUGCCAUAACACCCUUUUCCACCCACAAUUAUAAGUAUCGUACGCGUGAAUUGAAUGGUAGUAGUACUUAGCUAUUAGCAUAUACCAAAGAUUUUCCUUUGCCAUUUCUAAAACUAGGAAAACUCCGAGCAAAGCCAGCUACCAACAGGAUACUCGAUUCUUUUCAUGGGUUCUGUAUCAAGGCAAAACCAGCUUCCUGUUCUAGACUUCACUGGGCAAACCUUGAAUCCCAGUUCUACUCGUUGGCUCUCGACACGGGAAGAAGUUGUUUGAGCCCUGGAAGAGUAUGGCUGUUUCAUAGCGAACUACGGUAAGGUUUCCUUGGAACUUCACCAGGCUAUCUUUCGUGCAUCCCUGGAGUUGUUUGAUCUCCCGACGGAAACCAAAGUCCUCGACACUUUCUGAUUCACCUUCUCAUGGCUAGAUCGGACACCGUAGAAUUCUUUUGCUCGAAGCUUUGGGCAUCGAAAAUGGCACAACUUUUGAUGGAGUUCAGAAAUUCACCAACGUCUUAUGGCGCAAUGGAAACAAUCAUUUUAGUGCUUUUCAGGGUUAUGAUUUCUUGAAUUGAACAGUGACACAACACUCUCGUACUCAAAGCUUGUUGCUGAACUAUAUCAUGUGGUGAUGAGGAUGGUGGCAGAGACUUACGGUGUAGAGAAAGAUUGUGAAUCACUUCUCGGAUCCAUUUACUACCUUUUUAGGCUAAUCAAUUACAGGGGGCCCCGAGAAGAUGAAAGCAAUGUCGGUCUUUUCCAUCACACUGACCGGACCUUCAGGUCCAGUCUUCAUCAAGCACAAGUAAAUGGUCUAGAGAUCAAGACCAAGAAUGGCGGAUAGAUGCUUAUUGAUUCCUUAUCUCCUUCUUCUUUCAUUGUCAUGGCGGGGGAUGUAUGUAUGGCAUGGACUAAUGGCAGGAUCGAACCUCCACUUCCUCGGGUAAAAAUUCAGGGAGUGAAGAAAGAUAUUCCCUCAGCCUAUUUGCAUUCACAAGGGACGUGAUGGUUCAAGUACUAGAAAAGCUAGUUGAUGAUGAGCAUCCGUUGCAGCACAAGCCAUUCGAUCCCUACAAGUAUCUUCUAUUCUGCUUGACUAAGGAGGGGCAGAAAUCCAAGUGUCGAAUUAAAUCCUACUGUGGAGUCUUUUUUUUUUUUUUUUUUUUUUGUCAAAACCUACUGUGGAGUCUGAUGAUCCUAAUUACAAGUAUUUUGUUGCAAAGAAUCCAAUGGAUGUGCUUUGACUAUGAAUUUCUAUGUCAUUUUCUAGAAUUAUGAUGUUAGUUUGUGGUGCAGCGAGUGGUGAGUGGAAAAUGAAAAUAAAGCCCUUUGGUUGGAUUGAAACUUGAAAUUUGAACGUUGAAUACUGAGUAGAGUGUGGACCAAGGGUGUGUUUGAAUGGACUUUUAUAAUUUUCUGGUGUUCCUCAUGGUCCUUUAUUAUUAUUUUUUUUGUCAAUUGUCGCUUAUCUAUCUUAUACCUACUCUUAUUCUUAUUUUAGCCUAUUCUAGGGGAAGUCCAAUCGAAUCUACAGGAAAAUCGACAAAAAUUCAACCAUCAUCAGAUCAAACGGGUACACUACAAAUCCGUAUG